rnacentral:lncRNA from 1 species
UUGUCUCCUUAAUUAUCUCUUGACUCUGGCUGUGAGGCAUCUGGUUGUUUUUGCUUGCUUCAACUGGUGCUUUCACUCUCCAUUCUUGUGUUGCUUUACCUUUCUGUGUAGGUUGGGUAGCUUUGGUUAGACAGUUGUGUCCAACCUCUAAACAUUUCUCACAGUACAAAGGUUUCCACUCAUAGAUCACAUCCUGUAUGGAACUUUUUCCAUUUGGAUCUAAAAUCUCUAUUUCACUAGGUAACUUUUUGGACACAUUUACCUCAAUG